rnacentral:rRNA from 1 species
CUACGGGACGCUGCAGUGGGGAAUAUUGCGCAAUGGGGGAAACCCUGACGCAGCAACGCCGCGUGAAGGACGAAGGUUUUCGGAUCGUAAACUUCUUUGAUUGGGGAAGAAAAAAAUGACGGUACCCAAAAAACAAGCCACGGCUAACUACGUGCCAGCAGCCGCGGUAAUACGUAGGUGGCAAGCGUUGUCCGGAUUUACUGGGUGUAAAGGGCGUGUAGGCGGGGAGACAAGUCAGAUGUGAAAUACCACGGCUCAACCGUGGGGGUGCAUCUGAAACUGUUUCUCUUGAGUGCUGGAGAGGAAAGCGGAAUUCCUAGUGUAGCGGUGAAAUGCGUAGAUAUUAGGAGGAACACCAGUGGCGAAGGCGGCUUUCUGGACAGUAACUGACGCUGAGGCGCGAAAGCGUGGGGAGCAAACAGGAUUAGAUACCCGGGUAGUC